AGAGUUUGAUCCUGGCUCAGGACGAACGCUGGCGGCGUGCCUAACACAUGCAAGUCGAGGGGGAUUUGGGGAGCUUGCUUUCUGAAUCCUAGCGGCGGACGGGUGAGUAACGCGUGAGAACCUGCCUCAAACAGGGGGAUAACGCAUCGAAAGAUGUGCUAAUACCGCGUAAGACCAAGCACCGCAUGGUGCAGGGGUCAAAGGAGCAAUCCGGUUUGAGAUGGGCUCGCGUCCGAUAGCUAGUUGGUGAGAUAACAGCCCACCAAGGCAACGAUCGGUAGCCGACCUGAGAGGGGAUCGGCCACAUUGGAACUGAGAAACGGUCCAGACUCCUACGGGAGGCAGCAGUGGGGAUAUUGGGCAAUGGGCGAAAGCCUGACCCAGCAACGCCGCGUGAGGGAAGAAGGGUUUCGCUCGUAAACCUCUGUCCUAUGGGACGAAGAAGUGACGGUACCAUAGGAGGAAGCCCCGGUAACUACGUGCCAGCAGCCGCGGUAAUACGUAGGGGGCAAGCGUUGUCCGGAAUGAUUGGCGUAAAGGGCGCGUAGGCGGCCCGUUAAGUCUGGAGUGAAAGUCCCGCUUUCAAGGUGGAAUUGCUUUGGAUACUGAUGGGCUCGAGUGCAGGAGAGGAAAGCGGAAUUACCGGUGUGCGGUGAAAUGCGUAGAGAUCGGUAGGAACACCAGUGGCGAAGGCGGCUUUCUGGACUGAAAUGACGCUGAGGCGCGAAAGCGUGGGGAGCAAACAGGAUUAGAUACCCUGGUAGUCCCGCGGUAAACGAUGAGUGCUAGGUGUAGGAGGUAUCGACCCCUUCUGUGCCGCAGUAAAACAAUAAGCACUCCGCCUGGGGAGUACGGCCGCAAGGUUGAAACUCAAAGGAAUUGACGGGGCC
rnacentral:rRNA from 1 species